CACGUAGGCGGCUAUUCAAGUCGGGGGUGAAAUCCCGGGGCUCAACCUCGGAACUGCCUUCGAAACUGGAUGGCUUGAGUACCGGAGAGGGUGGCGGAAUUCCAGGUGUAGGAGUGAAAUCCGUAGAUAUCUGGAGGAACACCGGUGGCGAAGGCGGCCACCUGGACGGUAACUGACGCUGAGGUGCGAAAGCGUGGGUAGCAAACA
rnacentral:rRNA from 1 species